rnacentral:rRNA from 1 species
AGCCUGAUCCAGCCAUGCCGCGUGUGUGAAGAAGGUCUUCGGAUUGUAAAGCACUUUAAGUUGGGAGGAAGGGCAGUAAGUUAAUACCUUGCUGUUUUGACGUUACCAACAGAAUAAGCACCGGCUAACUUCGUGCCAGCAGCCGCGGUAAUACGAAGGGUGCAAGCGUUAAUCGGAAUUACUGGGCGUAAAGCGCGCGUAGGUGGUUCAGCAAGUUGGAUGUGAAAUCCCCGGGCUCAACCUGGGAACUGCAUCCAAAACUACUGAGCUAGAGUACGGUAGAGGGUGGUGGAAUUUCCUGUGUAGCGGUGAAAUGUGUAGAUAUAGGAAGGAACACCAGUGGCGAAGGCGACCACCUGGACUAAUACUGACACUGAGGUGCGAAAGCGUGGGGAGCAAACAGG